rnacentral:rRNA from 1 species
GCAGGCUGCAACUCGCCUGCAUGAAGCCGGAAUUGCUAGUAAUCGCGGAUCAGCAUGCCGCGGUGAAUACGUUCCCGGGCCUUGUACACACCGCCCGUCACACCAUGGGAGUCGGUAACACCCGAAGUCAGUAGUCCAACCUCGUGAGGACGCUGCCGAAGGUAGGAUUGGCGACUGGGGUGAAGUCGUAACAAGGUACC